UCAGCCUCCCAAAGUGCUGGGAUUACAGGUGUGAGCCACCGCGCCCGACUUGUUUCAGGAUUUAAGGUCAACUAGGAAAGAUUUUAAUUUCCCAAGGUUAAAAAACAAAACAAAAAGAAGCCGCUCUUCCUCCCAGCCGCCACAGAACAGGCCACCACACUGUAAUAUGUCAAUCCUGCCAAGAUAUACUAUCUUUUUACAAAUUGUCAGCCUCAGUUCUGGCAGGUACAGAGUCCCCUCUUCGAAUCCUGCCUGUGCCAUGUCUCAUCUGAGGACUAGUCUGCCUAGCUGCCUGCAGAUUUGCACCACCCCAUCUGAGAUGCUCCGCCCUGCUCUGAGAUGAAUCGUUGAGAUCACAAAGACAGUGAUGCCCACAUCACAGCCUUCUUGCUCUUAGGAACACUAGCCAGCACGAAAUCACUGUGCUUGGGGCCUUUUCAACAGCAAAAUCAACAGGAAGCACAAAAAUGUGGCAAAAUGACACUAACUAGACCAUGCUAAGGAAGCUUGUUCACAGCGUGAGCCGAAACAAGAAGGCCGAGCAUCGCCUUGUUCCACCUCAGCUGGGAAUGUGCAUUUGGGCAACUCAAAUCUUGUGUCACUCAUGCAUGCCUGUGAAUUACCUCAAAAGCACUUGCAGGCCUGAGUGGACUGCUCCCGGG
rnacentral:lncRNA from 1 species